UACGUAGGGGGCAAGCGUUAUCCGGAUUUACUGGGUGUAAAGGGAGCGUAGACGGCGGUGCAAGCCAGAUGUGAAAGCCCGGGGCUCAACCCCGGGACUGCAUUUGGAACUGUAUGGCUGGAGUGUCGGAGAGGCAGGCGGAAUUCCUAGUGUAGCGGUGAAAUGCAUAGAUAUCGCGCAGAACUCCGAUUGCGAAGGCAGCAUGCCGGCUCCACACUGACGCUGAGGCACGAAAGCGUGGGUAUCGAACAGG
rnacentral:rRNA from 1 species